rnacentral:rRNA from 1 species
GAUGAACGCUAGCGGGAGGCUUAAUACAUGCAAGUCGAGGGGUAACAGGGGCUUCGGCCCGCUGACGACCGGCGCACGGGUGAGUAACGCGUACGCAACUUACCUCCAAGCGAGGGAUAGCCCUGGGAAACUGGGAUUAAAUACCUCAUGUGAUUAUGAUGCCGCAUGGUGUUAUAAUUAAAGUUCAGGCGCUUGGAGAUGGGCGUGCGUCCUAUUAGCUAGUUGGUGAGGUAACGGCUCACCAAGGCGACGAUAGGUACGGGGGCGUGAGAGCGUGGCCCCCCAACGGGUACUGAGACACGGACCCGACUCC